UCAACUAUUAGGCUUCGGGGGAUACUGCCAGACUUGGAACCGGGAGAGGUAAGAGGUACUACAGGGGUAGGAGUGAAAUCUUGUAAUCCCCUGUGGGACCACCUGUGGCGAAGGCGUCUUACCAGAACGGGUUCGACGGUGAGGGACGAAAGCUGGGGGCACGAACCGGAUUAGAUACCCGGGUAGUCCCAGCCGUAAACGAUGCUCGCUAGGUGUCAGGCAUGGCGCGACCGUGUCUGGUGCCGCAGGGAAGCCGUGAAGCGAGCCACCUGGGAAGUACGGCCGCAAGGCUGGAAACUUAAAGGAAUUGGCGGGGGAGCACAACAACGGGUGGGAAGCCCGCGGUUUAAUUGGACUCAACGCCGGACAACUCACCGGGGGCGACAGCAAUAUGUAGGCCAAGCUGAAGACUUUGCCUGAAUCGCUGAGUAGAGGUGCAUGG
rnacentral:rRNA from 1 species